GACGAACCGAGCGAACGUUGUUCGGAAUCACUGGGCUUAAAGGGCGCGUAGGCGGGCAAGCAAGUCCGGGGUGAAAUCUUUCGGCUCAACCGGAAAAGUGCCUUGGAUACUGCUUGUCUCGAGGGAGGUAGGGGCCUGUGGAACUUCCGGUGGAGCGGUGAAAUGCGUAGAUAUCAGGAGGAACACCGGUGGCGAAGGCGGCUACCUGGACAGAGUCUGACGCUGAGGCACGAAAGCUAGGGGAGCAAACAGG
rnacentral:rRNA from 1 species